GGGCAGGAUUGCUGGAAGCCUGUUCAGCUGACUCUUAAUCAGCGGGUCCACAGUUCAAUCCUGUGCGCACCCACCA
rnacentral:tRNA from 1 species